AACGAACGUUGGCGGCAUGGAUUAGGCAUGCAAGUCGAACGAAUCCCGGGGUAGCAAUACCUCGGGGGAAGUGGCGAAAGGGGCAGUAAUACAUGGAUAACCUACCCUGGGGAUGGGCAUAGCCGUUCUAACGAGCGGGUAAUACCCAGCGAUUCGGCGAGUUGGCAUCAAUUUGCCGGGAAAUGAAUUUCGCCUCGGGAGGGGUCCAUGCGAUAUCAGCUAGUUGGUGGGGUAACGGCCCACCAAGGCUUAGACGUCUAGCGGGUGUGAGAGCACGACCCGCGCCACUGGCACUGAGACACUGGCCAGACACCUACGGGUGGCUGCAGUCGAGGAUCUUCGUCAAUGGGCGCAAGCCUGAACGAGCGAUGCCGCGUGAGCGAUGAAGGCCUUCGGGUUGUAAAGCUCAAAAGGGAUGAGAAAGGGAAACUUGAUCGAAUCCCAGUAAGCUCGGGCUAAGUUCGUGCCAGCCGCCGCAGUAAAAC
rnacentral:rRNA from 1 species